CUCUUAGCAACCUUAGUUCUAGGGCUAAGGUGUAACUAGGAGAGUUUCCUGCUCUGUGCUGCCCCUACCUCCUCACCUGACUCCUACUCUAAUCCAAAGCAAAUAAAUCCUGAGUCUGUGUUGUAUGUGGGACAAUAUGACAAGCAGCAGAGAAACAAAGAAUGGGACAGAGCCUGCCUCCCAGUGCUCACAGCCUAGAGAAGAGAGAGAAAGACGGACCGCACGCUGGAACCUGAGCUAAGUGUGCCGAGAAGAGUGCUUAUGCAUUGGGAGCAAGUGGGAAGAGGGAACAGAGAAGUGAUCGUGGGACCUGUCCGAGCCUUAAAUUAAGAAUCAGAGAGCUGGAAUCUCAUUUUAUUAGCACUCCAUUCUCCCUGAAGAAAAUCUCUUCACCUUCUGGAACCUCAUUUUUGUCACUUGUAAGAUGAGGUGAAUGUUACCUGCCCUCCUCUCACUGUCGUGGAAGAAGCAGAUGAGGUAGCAUCAAUGUAACACUUUGCAUCAGGAGCAAAGGACGAAAUAAACCCAAGGCAUUAUUUUCAUCACCAGUGAUGUCCUGAAUCAGUAAGGCUCCCGCACCAAAAGAAUACCCUGGCCGAUUUUUUUAAAAAAAAAAAACUAGAAGAAAAUGUCAUUUCCAAUGUAAAUAACAAGAUGUGGGAAAUUAUUUUCUAUUUC